rnacentral:rRNA from 1 species
GAUGAACGCUAGCGGCAGGCCUAAUACAUGCAAGUCGGACGGGAUUGAGGAGCUUGCUUCUCAUGAGAGUGGCGCACGGGUGCGUAACACGUAUGUAACCUACCUUAGUCAGGGGGAUAGCCUCUCGAAAGAGAGAUUAACACCGCAUAACAUUAAGUUGUGGCAUCACAGUUUAAUCAAAUAUUUAUAGGACUAAGAUGGGCAUGCGGAACAUUAGCUAGUUGGUAAGGUAACGGCUUACCAAGGCAACGAUGUUUAGGGGAUCUGAGAGGAUGACCCCCCACACUGGUACUGAGACACGGACCAGACUCCUACGGGAGGCAGCAGUAAGGAAUAUUGGUCAAUGGACGCAAGUCUGAACCAGCCAUGCCGCGUGCAGGAAGACGGCCCUACGGGUUGUAAACUGCUUUUGUACCGGAAUAAACCUUUUCACGUGUGAGAAGCUGAAUGUACGGUAAGAAUAAGGAUCGGCUAACUCCGUGCCAGCCGCCGCCGUAA